GAGGGUAUAGCUCAGUGGCAGAGCAUGUGCUUAGCAUGCACGAGGUCCUGGGUUCAAUCUUUAGUACUUCUA
rnacentral:tRNA from 1 species